GACGAACGCUGGCGGCGUGCCUAAUACAUGCAAGUCGAACGGAAAGGACCGGCGCUUGUGCGUUGCUCGAGAGGCGAACACGGGAGUAUCACGUGUAGAACAUCUCCUUGACUUUGGGAGAACACCAGGGGACACGGGAUCUUAUAGGGCAGGAGAUCCGGUUGCAUGGUGGGGGUUGGUAAGUUUCGGUGGUUGUGGAUGGCAAGGCGGACCUUCAGCUUGUUGGUGGGGUAGUGGCUUACUAAGGCGUUGACGGGUAGCCGGCCUGCGAGGGUGACCGGCCACAUUGGGACUGAGAUACGGGCAAGACGGAUACGGGAGGCAGCAGUGGGGAAUAUUGCACAAUGGGCGGAGGCCGGAUAGAGCAACGCCGCGUGCGAGAUGACGGUCGUCAGGUUGGAAACCGCGUUCGCGUGUGACGAAGCGUGAGUGACGGUAACGGAUAAAGAAGCACCGGCUAACUACGUG
rnacentral:rRNA from 1 species